CCCUCUUAUUCGAUAAGCAUGGCUGUUUCCCAUGGAGCAGGGUGGUGGGCAGCUCUGUGCAGAAGGGUUUGGAUUAUCCUUUAUUCCCACCUUGUGAGUUUUUGUUGUUGUUGUUUUGGUCUGUUGUUUUUGUUUUUUUUUUUCCUUAGGAGAAACUUUUGAAGGAGAGUAUUUGGUUUUGCAGUAUCAGAUCUGCAAAACCAGUGCUACCUUCUGCUGGUGAUCAGGCCCUUCAAGUGCACUUCUGUACAGCAGGCCACACUUUCUACCUUACAAGAACUGCAAGAAGUGUUCUGAGCAAAAAAAAAGCCCAAAAAACCCCCAUGUAUUAUUGUCCCUGAAGUGCCUGGUGAACAUCACCUUUCAGCUGGGCUUGGUGUUCAAACACAAGGGGCCUGCCCAAGAGUGGGUGACUGGUAAAGGCAAGACAAAACAAAGGAAGCAGAUCAUCCUUCCAUGUGUGCAGUGGAUUUUUGGUGAACUUCCAAGGAACAGUGCAGAAGAUGAUCAGAAUCCAAAAUCCCUGGAGACAAGUGGAGUGGGAAAUAGAAUGACAAGAUGAUGUUCAAUGACUUCCUGAGGCAUUAUUCCCCCUGGAGAUCUGCAACCUGAUCCAGACACCCUGGAAGUGACAGGUAC
rnacentral:lncRNA from 1 species